UCCCUAUAACCUUUUGCUCCUACUUUUUGAACCAUCAAUGCCAUGUUAAAUGAAGCUGUGAUAGUGAACAUCAUUGUUAUUUAUUUAUUUCAAAGAGAAAACUUUUAAUAUUCCACUAUCAGUGCCCACGCACCCAAAGGGCCAGCUCCUGCAUUUUUUCACUUCACCGAUGCCAAAGCCACUUUGCCCACCUUUGCAGCAGACGCAGGGUAUUAACUGUCUCAAGAAGUGGCCCUUAGUUAUUAACUGAUGGCAGCUGAUGGAGUGAAUAUGAUGAUUCUGUGAAGGUUUAUUGCAACAUGACUUUUUCAGCACAGCAACAGGAAAAUUUGACUCUGGGUCUGUUCUACAAAAUUAAAGCUUUCUCAGCACAAAAAACAGCAUAGACUGUGAGUGAUGGCGGCCAUCUUGGUUCAUGUGUAAAGACUGAAUUUCAGUGACUACCAACGGCUAUUUCUUAGAAUGUGGCACUUACCCUGGGUUCAGGCUGUGGUCCUUCUACUGCCCAUGAAUGAAUUGCUCCAUCUGAACAUUCGGGAACAGGCUCAAAGCCAGCUGCACUACGAGGAGCACCUCCACAAUCACAACAGAUCAUCAAAAAUGGGACCACUGGUGGUGGAGAGAUAAUAAUACUAGAAUUAGCACUGGGUGCAAAUAAAAAACAAAACAACCUGA